AAGGAUCAUUAAUGAAUU
rnacentral:rRNA from 1 species